rnacentral:rRNA from 1 species
AGAGUUUGAUCCUGGCUCAGGAUGAACGCUGGCGGCGUGCCUAACACAUGCAAGUCGAACGGACCGGAAAGAGCUUGCUUUUUCCGGCCAGUGGCGGACGGGUGAGUAACGCGUGGGUAACCUGCCGUAUACAGGGGGAUAACAGUUAGAAAUGACUGCUAAUGCCGCAUAAGCGCACAGUAUCGCAUGAUACAGUGUGAAAAGCCGAGACGGUAUACGAUGGACCCGCGUCUGAUUAGCCGGUUGGCGGGGUAACGGCCCACCAAAGCAACGAUCAGUAGCCGGCCUGAGAGGGUGGACGGCCACAUUGGGACUGAGACACGGCCCAAACUCCUACGGGAGGCAGCAGUGGGGGAUAUUGCACAAUGGGGGGAACCCUGAUGCAGCGACGCCGCGUGAGUGAAGAAGUAUUUCGGUAUGUAAAGCUCUAUCAGCAGGGAAGGAAAUGACGGUACCUGAGUAAGAAGCACCGGCUAAAUACGUGCCAGCAGCCGCGGUAAUACGUAUGGUGCAAGCGUUAUCCGGAUUUACUGGGUGUAAAGGGAGCGUAGACGGCGUGACAAGUCUGAAGUGAAAGCCCGGGGCUCAACCGCGGGACUGCUUUGGAAACUGCCAUGCUGGAGUGCAGGAGAGGUAAGUGGAAUUCCUGGUGUAGCGGUGAAAUGCGUAGAUAUCAGGAGGAACACCGGCGGCGAAGGCGGCUUACUGGACUGUAACUGACGUUGAGGCUCGAAGGCGUGGGGAGCAAACAGGAUUAGAUACCCUGGUAGUCCACGCGGUAAACGAUGAUCACUAGGUGU